AACGAACGCUGGCGGCAUGCCUAACACAUGCAAGUCGAACGAGACCUUCGGGUCUAGUGGCGCAAGGGUUCUUAACGCGUGGGAACCUGCCCUUAGGUUCGGAAUAACUCCCCGAAAGGGGUGCUAAUACCGGAUAGUGUCUUCAGACCAAAGAUUUAUCGCCUUUGGAUGGGCCCGCGUUGGAUUAGCUAGUUGGUAGGGUAAAAGCCUACCAAGGCGACGAUCCAUAGCUGGUCUGAGAGGAUGAUCAGCCACACUGGGACUGAGACACGGCCCAGACUCCUACGGGAGGCAGCAGUGGGGAAUAUUGGACAAUGGGCGAAAGCCUGAUCCAGCAAUGCCGCGUGAGUGAUGAAGGCCUUAGGGUUGUAAAGCUCUUUUACCCGGGAUGAUAAUGACAGUACCGGGAGAAUAAGCUCCGGCUAACUCCGUG
rnacentral:rRNA from 1 species